CGAUUUGAGAGCUUAACGGAUAAGAGCAAGCUCGAUGGACAGCCUGAACUC
rnacentral:sRNA from 1 species